rnacentral:misc_RNA from 1 species
GAUGAAGAACGUAGCGAAAUGCGAUAAGUAAUGUGAAUUGCAGAAUUCAGUGAAUCAUCGAAUCUUUGAACGCACAUUGCGCCCGCUAGUAUUCUGGCGGGCAUGCCUGUCCGAGCGUCAUUUCAACCCUCAAGCCCCCGGGCUUGGUGUUGGGGAUAGGCGAGCCUCCGCGCCCGCCGUCCCCUAAAUCUAGUGGCGGUCUCGCUGUAGCUUCCUCUGCGUAGUAGCACACCUCGCACUGGGAAACAGCGCGGCCACGCCGUUAAACCCCCAACUUCUGAACGUUUGACCUCGGAUCAGGUAGGAAUACCCGCUGAACUUAAGCAUAUCAAUAAGCGGAGGA